GUCCCGUUGGCGGAGUGGUUAACGCGGCGCCCUGCUAAGGCGUUUCCUUCUGGGAGCGCAGGUUCGAAUCCUGUGCGGGACG
rfam:Rhizoclosmatium globosum strain JEL800 BCR33scaffold_169, whole genome shotgun sequence.